GACGAACGCUGGCGGCGUGCUUAACACAUGCAAGUCGAACGGAAAGGCCCUGCUUUUGCGGGGUGCUCGAGUGGCGCACGGGUGAGUAACACGUGAGUAACAUGCACUUGUCUUUGGGAUAACUUCAGGAAACUGGGGCUAAUACCGGAUAGGAGCUACUGAUGCAUGGUGGGGGAUGGAAAGUUUCGGCGGUUGGGGAUGGACUCGCGGCUUAUCCGCUUGUUGGUGGGGUAGUGGCUUACCAAGGCUUUGAAGGGUAGCCGGCCUGAGAGGGUGACCGGCCACAUUGGGACUGAGGUACGGCCCAGACUCCUACGGUAGGCAGCAGUGGGGAAUAUUGCACAAUGGGCGGAAGCCUGAUGCAGCAGCGCCGCGUGCGGGAUAACUGCCUUCGGGGUGUAAACCGCUUUCGCCUGUGACGAAGCGUGAGUGACGGUAAUGGGUAAAGAAGCACCGGCUAACUACGUG
rnacentral:rRNA from 1 species